UACGUAGGGUGCGAGCGUUGUCCGGAAUUAUUGGGCGUAAAGAGCUCGUAGGCGGUUUGUCGCGUCGACUGUGAAAACCUACAGCUUAACUGUGGGCUUGCAGUCGAUACGGGCAGACUUGAGUUCGGUAGGGGAGACUGGAAUUCCUGGUGUAGCAGUGAAAUGCGCAGAUAUCAGGAGGAACACCGGUGGCGAAGGCGGGUCUCUGGCCCGAUACUGACGCUGAGGCACGAAAGCGUGGGGAGCAAACAGG
rnacentral:rRNA from 1 species